AGCAGCCACGGUAAUUCCAGCUCCAAUAGCGUAUAUUAAAGUUGUUGCAGUUAAAAAGCUCAUAGUUGAAUUUCGGGAUCAGUUGGUCGGUCAUGCCUCGGUACGUACUGGUCAAAUUGAUUCCUACUUUCUGACGAACCACGAUGUCAUUAAUUUGAUAUCGCGGGAAAUCAGGACUGUUACUUUGAAAAAAUUAGAGUGUUUAAAGCAGGCUCGCACUUGAAUACAUUAGCAUGGAAUAAUGAAAUAGGACGUUUGAUUCUAUUUUGUUGGUUUCUAGGAUCGACGUAAUGAUUAAUAGGGAUAGUUGGGGGCAUUAGUAUUCAAUUGUCAGAGGUGAAAUUCUUGGAUUUAUUGAAGACUAACUACUGCGAAAGCAUUUGCCAAGGAUGUUUUCAUUAAUCAAGAACGAAAGUUAGGGGAUCGAAGACGAUCAGAUACCGUCGUAGUCUUAACCAUAAACUAUGCCGACUAGGGAUCGGAUGAUGUUAAUUUUUUAAUGACUCAUUCGGCGCCUUACG
rnacentral:rRNA from 1 species